CACAGAGGUUCUACAGACAACAGCCUCCUUCACUCCACAACCUGGAUUCAGCCCCAGCACUAUCCACCAUGUGCACUGAAUGACACAGGGGUCUUCUGGAAAACAUAGUAUUAGUAUGAGUUUGUGGGGUCUCUGCCAUUGACUAUCACAGAAAGAUGAAAAGGGAACACAAGUCCUCUCUUCCCGUUAUCUGAAGAUGUGAGAAAAGGAAUGUCUCCAAAGUAAAAUCAAAAUAACUCAGGCCAGGCCUUGUGGACAACCUUUGACAGAAACAGCUUCCUUGAGGGAGCCAUUCCAGAGAGAUCAGCUUUUGAUUCCUCAAAGACAUCAAUCAUCCCCAUCUCUUGUAAAGGAGGCGAAAUAUCAGUUUCCCAUGUUUCAGCAACUGUUCUUUGAUGAAAAAGAAAGGACAGGGCAGGAUUGUGGUCAUGUUAUCAACUGCACUGCAUCAGCACCUGGAGAUUUCAGAAUUUGAUGAAAAGCUGAGAGCGUGAGAGAGAGGAAGGAAGCGAGGCAGAAAAUAACACACAAGGAAAAAGAGGCAGAAGAGGAUCUUAUGUGCCUCUGUGGUGCUGGCAACUAAGUAUCCCCAUCGAUGGACUGAGGACUGGCGGUCAUUUGUUUUUCAGGACACAAGCGAAAAACAAAGUUCCCUGAACAAGAGCAGGGUCUACUGGUCUUCUUCUUGGGAUGAAAAUCUUUCAAGCUGGUCUGUUCCUUCUUUUAUGGGUCAAGGGAGAUGAGAUGGGACAAGGUGGGAUGCA